CCUACGGGAGGCAGCAGUGAGGAAUCUUUGUCAAUGGGAGAGAUCCUGAACCAGCCAAGCCGCGUGAGGGAAGACGGCCCUAUGGGUUGUACACCUCUUUUGUCGGAGAACAAAACCCGGGACGUGUCCCGGACUGCGUGUAUCCGAAGAAAAAGCAUCGGCAAACUCCGUGCCGGCAGCCGCGGUAAUACGGAGGAUGAGAGCGUUAUCCGGAUUUAUUGGGUUUAAGGGGUGCGUAGGCGGUCCGUUAAGUCAGCGGGAACAUUGCGGGGCUCAACCCCGUCGAGCCGUUGAAACUGGCAGACGUGAGUUGGCGAGAAGUACGCGGAAUGCGCGGUGUAGCGGUGAAAUGCAUAGAUAUCGCGCAGAACACCGAUUGCGAAGGCAGGGUACCGGCGCCAGACUGACGCUGAGGCACGAAAGCGAGGGGAUCGAACAGGAUUAGAUACCCUUGUAGUC
rnacentral:rRNA from 1 species